rnacentral:rRNA from 1 species
GACGAACGCUGGCGGCGUGCCUAAUACAUGCAAGUAGAACGCUGAAGAGAGGAGCUUGCUCUUCUUGGAUGAGUUGCGAACGGGUGAGUAACGCGUAGGUAACCUGCCUUGUAGCGGGGGAUAACUAUUGGAAACGAUAGCUAAUACCGCAUAACAAUGGAUGACACAUGUCAUUUAUUUGAAAGGGGCAAUUGCUCCACUACAAGAUGGACCUGCGUUGUAUUAGCUAGUAGGUGAGGUAAUGGCUCACCUAGGCGACGAUACAUAGCCGACCUGAGAGGGUGAUCGGCCACACUGGGACUGAGACACGGCCCAGACUCCUACGGGAGGCAGCAGUAGGGAAUCUUCGGCAAUGGGGGCAACCCUGACCGAGCAACGCCGCGUGAGUGAAGAAGGUUUUCGGAUCGUAAAGCUCUGUUGUAAGUCAAGAACGGGUGUGAGAGUGGAAAGUUCACACUGUGACGGUAGCUUACCAGAAAGGGACGGCUAACUACG